UAGGGAAUCUUCCACAAUGGGCGCAAGCCUGAUGGAGCAACGCCGCGUGAGUGAAGAAGGUCUUCGGAUCGUAAAACUCUGUUGUUAGAGAAGAACACGAGUGAGAGUAACUGUUCAUUCGAUGACGGUAUCUAACCAGCAAGUCACGGCUAACUACGUGCCAA
rnacentral:rRNA from 1 species